CUUUAGUUAGUUUCUGUCUGUGUCCAUCUUAUCAGUUCUUAUCUAUCAAAUCAACCUGAUUCCGCCAUUGACAUUAAAUAUGAUUUUGUUGGCAUUACUCGUAAUUCUUUUACAUGGUGGAUUUGAUUCCAGCGCAGGACUUUUAGAUUGUAUAUGUUUUAGUAAAGAUGAACGUGUAAAAGGAGAUAAUGGAGAAUUCGUUGUGCCAAUGAAUAAAUGUGUUCAAUCAUUUGAUGAAGUCUCAGGUCUACGAGGUGAAGUUUGGCAUCAUAUUAAAUACACGUCACAGACUGGUUGGAUUGAACAUGAUAAACAAAUAAUGAAGUUAGUUAUAUGUGGAAGGGAAGAGUUAUCUCAUCAUAUAUGUGUUGAUAAUAUACUUGACUGUAAACAAUACAACGAAACCAAUCCAGAUCUUUGUAACGAUUACCCUGAUUGGUCAAGAGAUAAUUGUCGAAGGUUUUGUGGAUUUUGUGAUGAAGGGUGUUUAGAUAAACAAGAUAAUUGUCAUCUACAUACUCAAGAAACAUGUAAAACAUAUUCUCAUUGGGCUAAAUUAAACUGUAAGAACUACUGUGGAUUGUGUGAUUAUCCCGUGACGACGACACCAUUACCAACUACUAGUUUUUCCUGUGUAGAUCCUCCUCGUUAUGACUGUGUCUUUCUGAAAUCAGAAGGUAUCUGUGAUGACCCAGUUUCUGCCAAGGCAUUCUGUCCUAAAUCCUGUCAGAUUCCUGAAUGUAAAACAUAAACUUACUAUAAAAUAAAUUAUAAACUACUUAUUUCGUAAAGAAUCGGAUAAAGAUUUAAACUUUAGUUUAUCGCAUGA